GCGAACGCUGGCGGCAGGCUUAACACAUGCAAGUCGAGCGGGCAUCCUUGUGGUGUCAGCGGCAGACGGGUGAGUAACGCGUGGGAACGUGCCCUUCGGUUCGGAAUAACUCAGGGAAACUUGAGCUAAUACCGGAUACGUGCGAGAGCAGAAAGGUUUAUCUGCCGAAGGAUCGGCCCGCGUCUGAUUAGCUAGUUGGUGAGGUUAUGGCUCACCAAGGCGACGAUCAGUAGCUGGUCUGAGAGGAUGAUCAGCCACACUGGGACUGAGACACGGCCCAGACUCCUACGGGAGGCAGCAGUGGGGAAUAUUGGACAAUGGGGGCAACCCUGAUCCAGCCAUGCCGCGUGAGUGAUGACGGCCUUAGGGUUGUAAAGCUCUUUUCUCCGGGACGAUAAUGACGGUACCGGAGGAAUAAGCCCCGGCUAACUUCGU
rnacentral:rRNA from 1 species